rnacentral:rRNA from 1 species
AUUGGCUUUUGGAGUUUCUAACUCCCACCCAUGUGACUUACCUUUUGUUGCCUCGGCAGAAGUUAUAGGUCUUCUUAUAGCUGCUGCCGGUGGACCAUUAAACUCUUGUUAUUUUAUGUAAUCUGAGCGUCUUAUUUUAAUAAGUCAAAACUUUCAACAACGGAUCUCUUGGUUCUGGCAUCGAUGAAGAACGCAGCGAAAUGCGAUAAGUAAUGUGAAUUGCAGAAUUCAGUGAAUCAUCGAAUCUUUGAACGCACAUUGCGCCCAUUAGUAUUCUAGUGGGCAUGCCUGUUCGAGCGUCAUUUCAACCCUUAAGCCUAGCUUAGUGUUGGGAAUCUACUUCUCUUAGGAGUUGUAGUUCCUGAAAUACAACGGCGGAUUUGUAGUAUCCUCUGAGCGUAGUAAUUUUUUUCUCGCUUUUGUUAGGUGCUAUAACUCCCAGCCGCUAAACCCCCAAUUUUUUGUGGUUGACCUCGGAUCAGGUAGGAAUACCCGCUGAACUUAAGCAUAUCAAUAAGCGGAGGAA